UUACCUGCCCUUAAAAGCUGCUGCCUUCACCUUUUAAGUUAAAGAUCUUGCAGCUUGAUGUACUGGAAACUGGAGCCAUCUUAUGUCAUGCCUGGCCUAUUCUCCCUGUUCCCUCAGUCAAUAGGGUAUUCCCAAAGGUAUAUUUGCUGGUGCAUUGUUUAAAUCUGAAUGCCUCAAGAUGUGGCUUCCCUUGCUGGGGCCUUGGGAGAUGAUGACACACCCUGUUUAUUUUUCAAUGUAUUCAUCCUGUUGGCAUCCCACCAUCCUGGGAACUGAGACACCACUGCUCUCCUCAUUUGGUCUUGCAAGUGGGGUUGCUUCCUUGGUUGCCCCGAGGAGACAACAUAAAAGGAGGCUGGAAGCACAGCGUGCCUCUGACAGAUGCCUUUGUGAAGGAGUGCUGCGAGGCUGUGCGUUCUCCUCUCAAUUUUGAAACCACUGUUAUUGUUGUUUUCCCCAGCUUACGCAAUUCUCUUCUAUCUGCCAGCUUUUCCACGUGGAAUAAGACAGUCUGGCUGUAUUCUUUCCUUCCCCUGGCAUACUCUUUUCAGAGGCUGUAUUCAUGUGUACAGCCACAGCACCCCUUCCUUGGACUGGAAUCCCUUAUCAGCAGUAAAGGGUAAAACGUGAAGCAGGAAAUUGGCACGUGAGAUUAAAUUUAUGCUUGACUAAGUAUCCUGGAUGCAACCUGCCAGAAAUAAGUAGUCUUUUUCCUGCUCUUGUGGAUUUAUUUGCUAAGGAACAAUUCAACAACAAAGUAAUUAAGCCACAGGUUGGAUCACUAGCUGUUAUUUGCAAGUCCAUGCGUCACAUCCUAUAGCCUCCCAGGAAUUUCUGGCCCAGCUUGGCUGUCCAUCCUGAUACGCACAAUCCUGUGCUGCCUUCUGCCAGAGGAGCUGGUAAGAUCUUGGGAUGCUGGAGUUUGAUGAAGAGCAUGUUUUGCACAGGAGAUGCUGAUACCAGACAGUUGUAAUGCAAAGGACCUCCUUCCUCAUGCCGUCCCCAUCCUCCCCCCCUUCUUUAGACCCUGCACAGCCCCAUCUGAUCUGACGUUUUAUUUCCUGGCGAGGAAAUCCCAUCCCCAAGUAAUGCUGCUACAA